GGAAAUUGUGAUAAAAAUCAAUUUAAAACUCGAAGAAAGCCUUGAAUCGGAUGUUGAGGAACACCAGCGUAAAGGGGGACGGCCGGAGUGCUUAAAAAAAGGCGGUGCGGUUCAAUGAGGCCAAUUGUGUCUAAUGGUAUCCAACUGAGCAGAAACUCUGAGCUGUGAGAAUUGCCUCAAAUUAGGAUGUCCCAAGGUUUGACAGCUCGCUUGAGUCCAUCCGAGUUUAUCUGACUAUCUGUAAUGAUAAUUCAGUUCCUCACAUUGUCACUCAAUAAACCCUACCAGUAAACAUCUCUGAAGCUGUAGAAGAUCUGAGGGAUCUGGGUGUCCUAGCACAUGAAUCACAAAAGGAUACCUCCCAGAAUGUGACGAGCAUCACUAACAAGUUGAGCCUCUCUGAGAGGGAGAAGUGGAGUGAACAUAAAAUGGCUGAUGUUGGGUAGAUGAGGGCUCGGAAACAAUAUUGAACAGGCACUCCAGAUCACCAGCUCUAAUAUCUUCCAUAGGACCAGCAAUCAGUAGCGAAUUUUUAAAACUGAAACAGCUUCAAUGAAAUUCAUGAUACAGGUGGUGUGUGCAGCCUAUUUAUUCCACCGUCAAAGGUAGGUAUAGAUGAGUAACUUCACUCAUUCCUCUUCUCCCCUUCCUCGGUUCUGCUUCUUUCCAUCUUGCCCUGUUCUUCCUCCCAGAGUAGUGAAGAGGUCAC